rnacentral:rRNA from 1 species
GACGAACGCUGGCGGCGUGCUUAACACAUGCAAGUCGAGCGGAAAGGCCACUUCGGUGGUACUCGAGCGGCGAACGGGUGAGUAACACGUGAGUAAUCUGCCCUUCACUUUGGGAUAACCCCCGGAAACGGGAGCUAAUACCGGAUACGACCACCGUCCGCAUGGGCUGGUGGUGGAAACUUUUUUGGGUGGGGGAUGUGCUCGCGGCCUAUCAGCUUGUUGGUGGGGUAAUGGCCUACCAAGGCUUUGACGGGUAGCCGGCCUGAGAGGGUGACCGGCCACACUGGGACUGAGACACGGCCCAGACUCCUACGGGAGGCAGCAGUGGGGAAUAUUGGACAAUGGGCGGAAGCCUGAUCCAGCAACGCCGCGUGAGGGAUGACGGCCUUCGGGUUGUAAACCUCUUUCAGCACCGACGAAGCGCAAGUGACGGUAGGUGCAGAAGAAGGACCGGCCAACUACGUGCCAGCCGCCGCAGUAACAC